UAAAAACACAGGGCUCUGCGAAGUCGCAAGACGACGUAUAGGGUCUGACGCCUGCCCGGUGCCUGAAGGUUAAAAGGAGGGGUGAGAGCUCCGAAUUGAAGCCCAGGUAAACGGCGGCCGUAACUAUAACGGUCCUAAGGUAGCGAAAUUCCUUGUCGGGUAAGUUCCGACCUGCACGAAUGGCGUAACGACUUCCCCGCUGUCUCCAACAUAGACUCAGCGAAAUUGAAUUGCCUGUCAAGAUGCAGGCUUCCCGCGGUUAGACGGAAAGACCCCGUGCACCUUCACUACAGCUUCGCACUGGCAUCAGGCACAACAUGUGCAGGAUAGGUGGUGGGCUUUGAAGCAGGGACGCCAGUCCCUGUGGAGCCUCCCUUGAGAUACCACCCUUGUUCUGCUUGAUGUCUAACCGCGGUCCGUUAUCCGGAUCCGGGACCCUGCGUGGCGGGUAGUUUGACUGGGGCGGUCGCCUCCUAAAGAGUAACGGAGGCGCGCGAAGGUUGGCUCAGAGCGGUCGGAAAUCGCUCGUUGAGUGCAAUGGCAUAAGCCAGCCUGACUGCGAGACUGACAAGUCGAGCAGAGACGAAAGUCGGCCAUAGUGAUCCGGUGGUCCCAAGUGGGAGGGCCAUCGCUCAACGGAUAAAAGGUACGCCGGGGAUAACAGGCUGAUACUGCCCAAGAGUCCAUAUCGACGGCAGUGUUUGGCACCUCGAUGUCGGCUCAUCUCAUCCUGGGGCUGGAGCAGGUCCCAAGGGUAUGGCUGUUCGCCAUUUAAAGAGGUACGUGAGCUGGGUUUAGAACGUCGUGAGACAGUUCGGUCCCUAUCUGCCGUGGGUGUAGGAUACUUGAGAGGAGUUGCCCCUAGUACGAGAGGACCGGGGUGAACGAUCCACUGGUGGACCUGUUGUUGCGCCAGCAGCAGUGCAGGUAGCUAUGAUCGGACAGGAUAACCGCUGAAGGCAUCUAAGCGGGAAGCCCCCCUCAAAACAAGGUAUCCCUGAGGGCCGUGGAAGACCACCACGUCGAUAGGCCGGAGAUGUAAGCAUGGUAACAUGUUCAGUUGACCGGUACUAAUUGCCCGAUAGGCUUGAUUUG
rnacentral:rRNA from 1 species